GAUGAACGCUGGCGGCGUGCCUAAUACAUGCAAGUCGAGCGAACAGAUGAGGAGCUUGCUCCUCUGACGUUAGCGGCGGACGGGUGAGUAACACGUGGAUAACCUACCUAUAAGACUGGGAUCACUUCGGGAAACCGGAGCUAAUACCGGAUAAUAUAUUGAACCGCAUGGUUCAAUAGUGAAAGACGGUUUUGCUGUCACUUAUAGAUGGAUCCGCGCCGCAUUAGCUAGUUGGUAAGGUAACGGCUUACCAAGGCAACGAUGCGUAGCCGACCUGAGAGGGUGAUCGGCCACACUGGAACUGAGACACGGUCCAGACUCCUACGGGAGGCAGCAGUAGGGAAUCUGCCGCAAUGGGCGAAAGCCUGACGGAGCAACGCCGCGUGAGUGAUGAAGGUCUUCGGAUCGUAAAACUCUGUUAUUAGGGAAGAACAAAUGUGUAAGUAACUAUGCACGUCUUGACGGUACCUAAUCAGAAAGCCACGGCUAACUACGUG
rnacentral:rRNA from 1 species